GAAACGUAUUAAAUGCAGUGCAAUGAAAUAAACGUGUCGAUUAGAAUGACAUAAAUGAAGAUGCAAUAAAAUGAAAAGAUAUCAAUGCAGCCCGUUCACAUAGGCUAAACUUGCAAUGUAUUUAACAUGCAGUGACAGCACUAAAUGCACUGAAAUGAAACGAACGUAUCGAUGAGAAUUACAUAAAUGAAGAUGCAAUGAAACGAAAAGAUAUCACAGCAAACCGUUCAAAUAGGCUGAACUGGCAAUAGAAUUAACAUGUAAUGACAGCUGAAAGGGGCUUGCAUGGAAAGGCCGAACAACUGCGAGAACUCGACGUAGUGACGUCAACAAGAAGCGGCGAAAGUCAUUCAUUUAAUUUCAGCUUCAUUACGGCUGUGAACUGUUGCGUACCAAAAUAUAAUGGAAAUUACACAGCAGAAAACAAAGUUCAUGUCUUCAAAUUUACUAACGACGAUCUAAUAAGACAUACGAGGCUCCAUUCAAUUCCAUAUCAGGAUAUCGUAGUUACUAAUUAUUCAGUACCUACCUAUCUUCAGCUGCAGGAAACCCAGAAGAGCGACCGCAAGAGAAAAGGAUAACGUUGGAGGGAGGAAGCAGUAUUGUUGGAAAGCCUGAAGAUUAGUGUUUCCAGCCAUAAUGAGUAUUUAAAAAGAAUUUCACAUAAAAACCUUGAGGAACUGAAACAUAAAACAAACGCAAUAUCUUUCCAGAAGAAUUCGGUGAAAAUAGUGGAAGAAUAGUGAAUUAUUCUUGGGAGUAUCGAUCUAUCUGUGAGUUUCCACUAUGUAGUGAUUGGUAAUCAUUUGAAAGUGGAGGUCUGUUCAAAAUGAGUUUCGUUAAACAAAGUUCUUGUCACAGAAAAUGGUGUGAAUGCAACUGACUAUGAUGUGCACACCUCAGUGUUUUUGUAUGAAAAUAUUAUUUGGAAAUUUGUGAAUGUUUUACUAAACAACUA